AAAAAAAUAGGCUAAAUUAUAAAAAAUCUUUCUGUCAAUAUCUAUUUUUUUCAUUUUCUCUCUUGUCAUUCAAAAAUCUACACUUUGUCUUCUUAAAUAAUAAAAAAUAUUCAUUUUGACCCCGCCGCCAGUGUUCCGUUAGAAUUUUUUUCAUAUUUUAUUUUUUAUACCCAAAAUACUUCUGAAACCCUCCUUCUUUCUCAUCCUCAGCUGUGCUGCCUCGCCCUCGCCCACCUCUCUGUCCACAUCCACCCCGAAGAAGAUGAGGGGCAAUUUGGUCAUUUUGUCACAUCGUACUCCUCUGCGAAUAUUUUUUAUUUUUUAAGCUGGAAAAAUAUAGCUCUUUUAAUGACAGCUGAGGAGAGUGGAAAAACGAAUAUUGACAUAAAAAUUUUCUAUAAUUUAGCCAACAAAAUAUAAAAAUAAAUAGCAGACCACAAUUU
rnacentral:lncRNA from 1 species